GAAAUGCGAUAAGUAAUGUGAAUUGCAGAAUUCAGUGAAUCAUCGAAUCUUUGAACGCACAUUGCGCCCGCCAGUAUUCUGGCGGGUAUGCCUGUUCGAGCGUCAUUUCAACCAUCAAGCCCCCGGCUUGUGUUGGGGACCUGCGGCUGCCCGCAGGCCCUGAAAAACAGUGGCGGGCUUGCUGUCACACCGAGCGUAGUAGCAUACAUUCUCGCUCAGGGCGUGCUGCGGGUUCCGGCCGUUAAACGACCUUCAUAACCCAAGGUUGACCUCGGAUCAGGUAGGAAGACCCGCUGAACUUAAGC
rnacentral:misc_RNA from 1 species